AGCAUAUCAAUAAGCGGAGGAAAAGAAACUAACAAGGAUUCCCCUAGUAACUGCGAGUGAAGCGGGAAAAGCUCAAAUUUAAAAUCUGUCAGUCUUUGGCUGUCCGAGUUGUAAUCUAGAGAAGUGUUAUCCGCGUUGGACCGUGUACAAGUCUCCUGGAAUGGAGCAUCAUAGAGGGUGAGAAUCCCGUCUUUGACACGGACUGCCAGGGCUUUGUGAUGCGCUCUCAAAGAGUCGAGUUGUUUGGGAAUGCAGCUCAAAAUGGGUGGUAAAUUCCAUCUAAAGCUAAAUAUUGGCGAGAGACCGAUAGCGAACAAGUACCGUGAGGGAAAGAUGAAAAGAACUUUGGAAAGAGAGUUAAACAGUACGUGAAAUUGCUGAAAGGGAAACGCUUGAAGUCAGUCGCGUUAUCCAGGGAUCAACCUUGCUUUUGCUUGGUGUACUUUCUGGUUAAUGGGUCAGCAUCAAUUUUGACUAUUGGAAAAAGAUCAGGGGAAUGUGGCAUCUUCGGAUGUGUUAUAGCCCUUGGUUGCAUACAAUGGUUGGGAUUGAGGAACUCAGCACGCCGCAAGGCCGGGUUUUUAACCACGUACGUGCUUAGGAUGCUGGCAUAAUGGCUUUAAUCGACCCGUCUUGAAACACGGACCAAGGAGUCUAACAUAUCUGCGAGUGUUUGGGUGGAAAACCCGAGCGCGUAAUGAAAGUGAAAGUUGAGAUCCCUGUCGUGGGGAGCAUCGACGCCCGGACCAGACCUUUUGUGACGGUUCCGCGGUAGAGCAUGUAUGUUGGGACCCGAAAGAUGGUGAACUAUGCCUGAAUAGGGUGAAGCCAGAGGAAACUCUGGUGGAGGCUCGUAGCGAUUCUGACGUGCAAAUCGAUCGUCAAAUUUGGGUAUAGGGGCGAAAGACUAAUCGAACCAUCUAGUAGCUGGUUCCUGC
rnacentral:rRNA from 1 species